GAAUCAGAGAAAGUUGACAGAAUAGGAUACGCCCAACUCUUAUGAGAAAAAAGAGGAAAGGGAAGCUACUUAAGGGGCAAUGAGAGAGAGAGAGACAGAGACAGAGAGAGGAAGGGAGGAAGGGAGAGAGGGGAAACUUUACGGAGACAGUAAUGGAGAGAUGGUGUUGCAGAGAGAGAACUCAGGUGAAGACCAAAUGAGCCAGAAAAUGAGGAGCCAGGAGAUUAGAGCAGAUUGUUGGAGAUAGUUUGAGAGAAAAGCCAGAUUGAAUAAAUUAUCUGGAAGAGGAGUUUGAGCCAGAACAGCUGAAUUGAACCAGCUAGCCCAGAGCUCAGCAUAAACAGAAAGGGUGAGCUUAUUCAGCAGUAGGUCUCAGAGGCUGAAAGCAUUCUAGGCCUAGUUUAGACUGUACAGAGGCUAGAAACUUCCAGGACUAGGUCUAAGUUAGCAGACAGGCAGUUAGCCUCCCAGAUGACAAUUGAAUCAGGCAAAUAAAAGCUCUUUUUCAGAGAGCCACUGAGAAGAGUUCAGGGGGAGAGACUAUGAGCAAAAUACAUAUUGUGUGAGAACAGGGUCUAUUUUUAAUAAAAGGGGAAAUUUUGUGUGUAGGGGCAAGUGUGUGCGGCAAUGAGAAGACAACUAUCUGUGGAAGCUGGUUCUCUCCUUUCACCAUGUGGGUUCCAGGACCAAAUCAGGUUGUCCAGAGUAUAGACAACCAAGAAAGCAGACCUGAAGGGGGAAAAGGACAUACGACUGAAGUCUGCAUGGAAGACCAUCUGCAACCUAAACAUGUGGGAGGCUGAGGGAGGAUCCAAAGUUCAAACCCAGUUUGGACUACAUCCCAAGACAGUGUCACAAACAAAACAAAUUAAACAUGCCACUGAACCACUCUUCAA